UACGUAGGGUGCGAGCGUUAAUCGGAAUUACUGGGCGUAAAGCGUGCGCAGGCGGUUUAGUAAGACAGGCGUGAAAUCCCCGGGCUCAACCUGGGAACUGCGCUUGUGACUGUAUAGCUAGAGUACGGCAGAGGGGGAUGGAAUUCCGCGUGUAGCGGUGAAAUGCGUAGAUAUGCGGAGGAACACCGAUGGCGAAGGCAAUCCCCUGGGCCUGUACUGACGCUCAUGCACGAAAGCGUGGGGAGCAGACAGG
rnacentral:rRNA from 1 species